rnacentral:lncRNA from 1 species
CUUGAAACUGGAGGAGGCAUAUCUUCUGGGACCACACAGAAGCCAAGGGACAGAGAGAAGCUUUCGUGCCCAGAUCUGGGUGGAGAAAGAAGUGAGAGAGGGGGUGAGUGGGGCACAGCAGGGGCCCUGGCAGCUCGCUCGCCACCUCCUGCACUUGGAGGUCCCACUGGCCUGCCUGUUCUGUCCCAGUUUCAGUCCAUUCUAGACGGGGCAGGUGGUCCUGAAGGAGGCCAAGUCCCCUCCCUGCCCUGACGAGGGCUCGCUGGAAAGAGCUGAGUCAGCUCCCGCCCCCUCCUCCAUGCUGCGGCAAAGUCAAACGCAAGCGCCUCCCACCCCAGAGACCUUUGGUCGCAGCCUGGAGAUCAGCUCAGACAAGAAAACAACCAGGGAAGGCACACAGCCCUGUGGGGAGGCGUUGGGGCGUGAGGUUGAGAGAGACAGAGUGGCCUGGCCUGGCCUGCCCUGUGAGCUGGGUGAGUUGGCACUGAUUCUGGAAGAUGGACGUGAAUGGGCGUGGUCACUUGUCGCUAGGUGAGUUGCUGGGAGAUGGGCCUGCAGCGUGGUCUUGCUGGUGUGAGGCUCCAG